CGUAGGGUGCGAGCGUUAAUCGGAAUUACUGGGCGUAAAGGGUGCGCAGGCGGUUCCACAAGCUAGAUGUGAAAGCCCCGGGCUUAACCUGGGAAUGGCAUUUAGGACUGUGGAGCUCGAGUGCGGCAGAGGGAGGUGGAAUUCCACGUGUAGCAGUGAAAUGCGUAGAUAUGUGGAGGAACACCGAUGGCGAAGGCAGCCUCCUGGGCCGACACUGACGCUCAUGCACGAAAGCGUGGGAGCAAACAGGAUU
rnacentral:rRNA from 1 species